AUCUCCUACUGAAAAACUCUCUCUAAUCUCUGUUUCUCCUAAGCUCUUCCUAGUUCAUCUUCUCUCGGACUUCAGUUUCUCCCGCGGCGGCUCCGUCACAUCAACAACACAGCCACAGCCACAGCCACAGCCACAGCCAUAGGAAAGUCGUAGGCCGGCAGCCCUCACGUAUGCCCGCGACAGGGACACUCCUCAGUCAACCACAGUCCCAACCGUAGUGAGAUACUGAAGUGAAAGAAAAAGAGGUCAAGAGUUUGCUGAAUUAAAGCUCUUACAUUGUAUUGGCAAUUUCUGAGCACAAAGAUCCAUUUGAAUUAAAAUACAGUGAUUAGAGAGAUGGAAGGAACUAGUGGCACUGAAGACGUGCAAGGAGGAAGCACUCAAGGAGCCAGGACAACCAAGAAGGAAGAUCCGUUGAUACUAUAGUCAUCAGAUCAUCCUAGAAUGAUUUUAGUAUCAACACCACUGAAACAGAAACAACUACUUGGCAUGGAACAGGGCUGUGAAGAUAGCUCUUGGAGCCAAGGUGAAGUUGGGUUUCAUAGAUGGGAAAUGUGAGAUGCCAGAAGAGGGAUCAGAGGAUUUUGAGAAAUGGAGUAAGGGUGGAUUGCAUGGUGCAAUCUUGGAUACUCAACUCCAUUACUAAAGAUAUUGUGGAAGCUUUCUUAUACACCAGUACAGCCGAAGAACUAUGGCAGGAGCUGGAAGAACGUUUGGAGAGUGCAAUGGUCCACUGUUGUACCAAUUGCAAAGAGAGAUUCUUCAGUCUCUCAAGGGAACCAGACUGUAGUCCAGUACUACAACAGAUUGAAGAAGCGUUGGGAUGAGUUGCAGUGCGUACAACCUAUCCGUCAGUGCAGUUGUGGAGCAGCUAAGCAACUAGCAGACUACAAUUUCUCUUGAGUAGAAAAACAAAGAGGAAUUCAGAAUGUUUAUACAAAAGGUUCAGAAAAUGUGGCUAUGAUGGUUUAUAAUCAACAUGGUAAGAAACUAAGUAAUGAUACUAAGAGUACUAGUAAGGAGAAGGGAGGUUCUAAAAGGGUUGACAGAUAAAAUCUUCGUUGCACACAUUGCAAUUUCACUAGCCAUACAAAGAAGACCUGCUUCGAAAUCCAUGGUGUACCAGAUUGGUACAAAGAUCUCAUGAAGUCAAGAGGAAAACCUGGAUUCAAACAAAUAGCAAAUCUGGCAGAUGCUACUCUAGAUUCAGAAGCUACCAAAGAUGAUGGAGUGUCACUAGAGCUGAAUACAAAGAUCCAGGAUCUAAUACAAUAAGAAAUGAGCAGGUACAUGAAAGGUAAAUGAGUAGCAGAAAGCAGUAUCGUUAAUAUGGCUCACUUCCAUGAUUUUGCUGGUAUGUGCAAUGAUUUAAAACUUUUGCAAAACCCAGACCCAGUUAAGACCAUAACCCCUGUAUAUCUUCCUGAUGGAUCAAUAAAGCUGGUUCGUCAUACAGGAGAUGUGCAUAUCUCAAAUAAACUAAUACUCACUUUAGUUUUAUAUAUACCAACAUUUCAACAUAAGUUUUUGUCAAUUAACAAACUAUCUGAACUUUCACUAAUCAAAUUUCUAUUUUAUCCUAACCAUUGUAUACUGCAAGACCUGCAGAAUGAGAAGAUUCUAGCAAUAGGCAAAGUCAUUGGAAGGCUAUACAUUUUGGA